UUGAUCAAGGACUUUGCAUC
rnacentral:miRNA from 1 species